rnacentral:lncRNA from 1 species
GCGGAGGGCCUGGAUCCCAUGGAAAUGUCCUGCAUAGUUCCAGCUGAAGACCUAGAGCCCAUAACAAUGCCUCCCAUGAAUCCAACUGGAGGCCUAGAACCCACAACAAUGUCUCAUGCCAGGCCUGUUUCACAGAUCUACGCUGGAAGGCCCAAAGGUCAGUGGUAGAAGCUAGAAAGUCUGUGACAGUGAGAUGAAGGAUCUGUGCUAGCAGGCUUAGGGAUCGACACUGGAGACAGAUAGUUAUGCACAAAGUCAGAACUAGAGCCCCCCCGCCGGCCCCCGAGGGUACCACAGCCAUCCUCAGCAACAGUGAGGUCCUGAGCUCCAAUGAAGAAGACAGCUGAGCUCCCAUCAGAAAACGCAACACAGCAAGCUUCUCCAGGAAACUUGCAGUGCACCAUCUUCCCCUCCAGAGCCAGGAAGUGAUGUUCAAAGUGAGGACUAGAGAUCCCCAAAGUGAAUCAAAGCUGUGUUCAAUGCCAACAAGGUCCCGAGCUCCUUGGAGGAUGAAAACAGCCAAGUUCAUUGGGAAAGCCAGCAUGACAAGCUCCUCCAGAAGCACCAACAGGUCCUUAAAGCUUCUAUCAGUUCCCAAAAGGCUUUCUUCUUCUUCUCCAGUUGUGCCUCCUAUGCAUCUGGCAACAAUCUCAGCAGCCUAUAACUUUCACCUCUGCGAAGACAGUUAAAGAGAGGAGUCAGAUGCAUUUGUAGAGGUAUGGUUAUUUAUACAUCCACUUAGACAAAUGCUCUAUGCUUUGGGAUCAUUGGUAAAAAGUAGGAUGCAGGUGUUUAAUGGCCACAGUAGAUGUAGAAAAGCUUGCUGUAAGAGUAGUUGAAGAUUGCUUCCCUCUCACGGUAGAUGCCUUUACAUUUUGUCACUUUUUUUCC